rnacentral:rRNA from 1 species
GCCUAUCUCAGUUCGGAUUGGAGGCUGAAACCCGCCUCCAUGAAGUUGGAUUCGCUAGUAAUCGCGCAUCAGCCAUGGCGCGGUAAAUACGUUCCCGGGCCUUGUACACACCGCCCGUCAAGCCAUGGGAGCCGGGGGUGCCUGAAGUUCGUUACCGCAAGGAUCGACCUAGGGCAAAACUGGUGACUGGGGCUAAGUCGUAACAAGGUACC